rnacentral:lncRNA from 1 species
AUGCUGCUCUCUCCGCAGCUGAGCAGUCAAGCCCUGCCCCACCCCGGCAUGAAGGACACCCACGCCCUGCAUGUCCGAGCUGGCCCUGGCUUCUCUGUGCUCAUUGCCUCCUUCCCCGCCCGCCUCCUGGCACUCCCCACCCCACCCCGCCCCCACCCCCUGGUCUCCGGGCUGCACUGCUCUUUUUCCUGCAGCCUCCCUUGGACUAACGAGCUUGAAUCCAACUGCCUCUCUCCUCCACCCAGCCAGGGCCACUGUGUCCCAAAGCCCAGCUCCAAGGUCACCAUCUCCAAGCAGCUCUUCCCACGCCACCCCUCCCUCCAGCCAGGAAGGGGCCCUGGCCCUGGCGUCUUCACCACAGGGGCCUCUGUCAGCUCCUUGUCUUCUGGGUUGGGCUCAUCCACGCAGGCUGCGGCUGCUUCUGGAGGCCAGGAGUGCUUUCCAGAACAUGAUGAGUGCCAAGAAGCACCGAUGGGGGUGCACAGUUUAGAAAAAGCAGGGAAAGGGGCCAGCAUUGUGGCUCACUUGGUUGAUCCUCCACCUGUGGCACCGGCAUCCCAUAUGGGCACUGGGUUCUGGUCCCGGUUGCUCCUCUUCCAGUCCAGCUCUCUGCUGUGGCCCAGGAAGGCAGUGGAGGAUGGCCCAAGUGCUUGGGCCCUGCACCCGCAUGGGAGACCAGGAGAAGCUCCUGGCUCCUGGCUUAGGAUCGGCAUAGCUCCGGCCGUAGCGGCCAUUCAGGGGGUGAACCAACGGAAGGGAGACCUUUCUCUCUGUCUCUCUCUCACUGUCUAUAACUCUACUUGUCAAAUAAAUAAAAUAGUUUUAAAAAAAGAAAAGAAAAAGGAGGGAAAAUGGGGUGAAGGGAGCCAAGGGAUCAGGGCCACGUGUAUUGACCCAGGCAGGCAGGCAGGCAAGCGAGGCCUGGCGGUAGGUAACAGGCACACAGCAGGUGCUGGAGGCAGGAGCAGCUCCACGAAGCCUGGGAGGAGAAGGCCAGUUACUAAGCAAAGGCCCAGAGCAGGACUCGCACCCAGGAGCAGGUGA